rnacentral:lncRNA from 1 species
UAACAAAAAAAACUAAACAUGGUCUUAUGGUCUCGUUGCCGAGAAGUUCUCUUGAUAAUUUCUGCUACCUACUUUGUUAGAAUUUGUAGCUUACAAGUUCAUCGAGUAGUGCGAGAGCGUCGACAUUCUACUGUAAAAACUUCCAGAGCCAUUGUGUGUUUUGGAUAGAGCCGAUAUGAUAAAAAGUUUGUGGAUAAUGUUCGUUGAUAAAUUGCAAUGUGUUAAUGCUGAUCGACUUUGUCAUACUAACUCAUAAUCAUACUAAGAGAUGCAAGCAACAAUAACAAGUUUCCUGAAGAAUGUUCCAGUCGUACAGUUGGAAACAAUUAUGUCUGUAUAAGUUGUGGAAUAUCUUUGGAAAGGCACUCACGAAGAUAAAAUCACAGGCCACGGGCUUAUGGAAAGAAGUGAAGAGUGCUAUUAUAUAGAAAAACAAUCUCCGAGAUAGAUGCCUGAUGGUUGCCCAUGUAUGUGUUGUUUGCACGAUGAGCUCACCUCAAAAGCAUUAAUAUCUAGUGAACAUAAAAGCUGUGUUAGGUGUGUUGUUGCAAUGUAUAUAGUUCUAUUUAUUAACCCCCGACGCAAAAACAACGGGGUGUUAUAAGUUUGACGUGUCUGUAUGUGUGUAAAUGUGUAUGUGUCUGUCUGUGGCAUCGUAGCUCCCAAACGGAUGAUGCAAUUUUAAUACGGUUUUUUUUUGUUUGUAAGUUAUAUUAGUCGAGAGUGUUCUUAGCUAUGUUUGGUAGAAAUCGGUUCAGGUCUUCAAGGUCAUCAUGAUGUUUGUUAAGUGUGAUAGGAAUGUUACACACUCAGUUUGCUUGCAAGUAUAGGUAUGUGGGAUAAGUUAUUUUUUACUUUUUAUAGGGUUUUUAAUUUUUUCACCUUUUUUCAUAAUAAUUGAGUACUAACAAUGAGUUUAUAUCACUUUAUAAUUAUAAUUAAAUCAUUAAAUAGAUAAAAACCUAACUGUGUAUAUUUUAAUGUUAUUGUUAAGUUUAUUCUCUACCUACUUACCUUAUGUUACCAUAUUAAGUCUGUUCAAAAAUCAUAAAUAGGUAUUUGUUCUUCUUCUAUCAUGUGGGUUGUGAAGUGGAUGACCAACCUCAUCAACCAGGAUUAUUGCUGAGCCGCCAAUGUCGUUUGAUCAGCCAGCCAUGUCCUAACUGAACCAGGGAUCACAAAGAAAUUUUUGUGUUUUGUUCCCACCGGGACUUGAACCUGGGACCUCCGGAAUGUCAGCCACUGGACCACAUAGGCCAAGAGUACAUGGUUAAGUUGCUGUUUUAUUUCAACUAUUUAAUUAAAUGUAGGAAUAUUUUGUAUGAGUAUGAAUUAUAUAAUAAAACAAAUUAUUUCUAAAAA